rnacentral:misc_RNA from 1 species
GGGGCCCCAGUUGGAAGG